UAGGGAAUCUUCCGCAAUGGACGCAAGUCUGACGGAGCAACGCCGCGUGAGUGAAGAAGGAUUUCGGUUCGUAAAACUCUGUUGUUAGAGAAGAACAGCGCAUAGAGUAACUGUUAUGCGUGUGACGGUAUCCAACCAGAAAGCCACGGCUAACUACGUGCCAGCAGCCGCGGUAAUACGUAGGUGGCAAGCGUUGUCCGGAUUUAUUGGGCGUAAAGCGAGCGCAGGCGGUCAAUUAAGUCUGAUGUGAAAGCCCCCGGCUCAACCGGGGAGGGUCAUUGGAAACUGGUUGACUUGAGUGCAGAAGAGGUGAGUGGAAUUCCAUGUGUAGCGGUGAAAUGCGUAGAUAUAUGGAGGAACACCAGUGGCAAAGGCGACUCUCUGGUCUGUAACUGACGCUGAGGUUCGAAAGCGUGGGUAGCAAACAGG
rnacentral:rRNA from 1 species